rnacentral:rRNA from 1 species
UGUGUAGGCGGUAUAAUAAGUUAAAAAUUAAAAACUAUGCAGUUCAAUUUAUAAUUUUUAAAACUAUUAUACUUGAGUAAUAAAAAAGAUAGUGGAACUUUUAGCAUCAGAGUUGAAAUGCGUAUACACUAAAGGGAACCCCAAAGGCGAAAGCAACUAUCUAUUUAUUUCUGACGCUGAGACACGAAAGCAUGGGUAUCAAAUA